rnacentral:rRNA from 1 species
UAUUGGACAAUGGGCGAAAGCCUGAUCCAGCAAUGCCGCGUGAGUGAUGAGGGCCUUAGGGUUGUAAAGCUCUUUUACCCGGGAUGAUAAUGACAGUACCGGGAGAAUAAGCUCCGGCUAACUCCGUGCCAGCAGCCGCGGUAAUACGGAGGGAGCUAGCGUUGUUCGGAAUUACUGGGCGUAAAGCGCACGUAGGCGGCUUUGUAAGUUAGAGGUGAAAGCCUGGAGCUCAACUCCAGAAUUGCCUUUGAUACUGCAUCGCUUGAAUCCAGGAGAGGUGAGUGGAAUUCCGAGUGUAGAGGUGAAAUUCGUAGAUAUUCGGAAGAACACCAGUGGCGAAGGCGGCUCACUGGUCUGGUAGGACGCUGAGGUGCGAAA